rnacentral:piRNA from 1 species
UGUGAUCCCAAGGAAGGAAAUAAAUGGCUCC